AUACGGAGGGUGCAAGCGUUAUUCGGAAUCACUGGGCGUAAAGGACGCGUAGGCGGGUUGGCAAGUCAGAUGUGAAAUCCUACAGCUUAACUGUAGAACUGCAUUUGAAACUGCUAACCUAGAGUAUGGGAGGGGGAGAUGUAAUUAGUGGUGUAGGGGUAAAAUCCGUAGAUAUCACUAGGGAUACCGAAAGCGAAGGCGAUCUCCUGGAACAUAACUGACGCUAAGGCGUGAAAGCGUGGGGAGCAAACAGGAUUAGAAACCCUAGUAGUCC
rnacentral:rRNA from 1 species